CGUAACAAGGUCUCCGUUGGUGAACCAGCGGAGGGAUCAUUACUGAGUUUACGCUCUACAACCCUUUGUGAACAUACCUAUAACUGUUGCUUCGGCGGGUAGGGUCUCCGCGACCCUCCCGGCCUCCCGCCUCCGGGCGGGUCGGCGCCCGCCGGAGGAUAACCAAACUCUGAUUUAACGACGUUUCUUCUGAGUGGUACAAGCAAAUAAUCAAAACUUUUAACAACGGAUCUCUUGGUUCUGGCAUCGAUGAAGAACGCAGCGAAAUGCGAUAAGUAAUGUGAAUUGCAGAAUUCAGUGAAUCAUCGAAUCUUUGAACGCACAUUGCGCCCGCCAGCAUUCUGGCGGGCAUGCCUGUUCGAGCGUCAUUUCAACCCUCAAGCUCUGCUUGGUGUUGGGGCCCUACAGCUGAUGUAGGCCCUCAAAGGUAGUGGCGGACCCUCUCGGAGCCUCCUUUGCGUAGUAACUUUACGUCUCGCACUGGGAUCCGGAGGGACUCUUGCCGUAAAACCCCCAAUUUUCCAAAGGUUGACCUCGGAUCAGGUAGGAAUACCCCGCUGAACUUAAGCAUAUCAAUA
rnacentral:rRNA from 1 species